AAGAGUUGCAAAACUCCCUAAACCAUUGUGAACCUACCUUCAAACCGUUGCUUCGGCGGGUUCGGCGCCCUCGCGCGCCCCCGGCCCCACCUCGGGGCGGCCCGCCGGAGGUACCUAACUCUUGAACAUUGUAUGGCCUCUCUGAGUCUUCUGUACUGAAUAAGUCA
rnacentral:misc_RNA from 1 species